GACGAACGCUGGCGGCGUGCUUAACACAUGCAAGUCGAACGGAAAGGCCCUGCUUUUGUGGGGUGCUCGAUUGGCGAACGGGGGAGUAACACGUGUGUAACCUGCCCUUGUCUUUGGGAUAACUUCAGGAAACUGGGGCUAAUACACGGUAGGAGAUUCUGCAGCAUGGUGGGGGUUGGAAAGUUUCGGCGGUUGGGGCUGGAUUCGCGGCUUAUCAGCUUGUUGGGCGGGUAGUGGCUUACCAAGGUUUUGACGGGUAGCCGGCCUGGGAGGGUGGCCGGCCACAAUGGGCCUGAGAGACGGCCCAGACUCCUACGGGAGGCAGCGGUGGGGAGUAUUGCACAAUGGGCGGAAGCCUGAGGCAGAAACGCCGCGUGCGGAAUGACGGCCUUCGGGUUGUGAACAGCUGUCGCCUGUGACGAAGCGUGAGUGACGGUAAUGGGUAAAGAAGCACCGGCUAACUACGUG
rnacentral:rRNA from 1 species